AGUGUUGCUAUUCAAUUCUCCAUUCCUCCUGGAAACAGAAUUCUAGAAUUAUAGGAGUUGGUUCACAGGGUCACUCCAUACUUCCUCGGCAGAAUUCUAGGAAGUACAACCAUCCACCAUCUCACACUGCCAGAGUUUUCUCAGUCACAAAAUGCAGAGGACAUCUGCACAACACAAAAGACGUCUGAGAGACCCAAGCAGCCAUAUGUUGGAAAGUGGAGGAGCUGAAGCCACCCCCCACACUCACAAGAAACUGGAAUGAGAUUGGCAGCCAGCUACACACCCCUCACACUGAAGCUACAAAGGAGAACAACAGUACAAAGGAGAAAAGGCAGUCAGUCAACUAAACAAGAGCCUGAGUUACCUGAAACCUGAUCUUCUGGGUCGACACCUGAUUCCAAAACAAUCUAUAAACAGUUGGUCGACAUUAUUUGUGGAACCCACAUUCGUGAAUUUGCUAACUUGCUAAAAUUUUUUUGUAACCCAAAAAUUCAUUACUUGAGGCACUUUCACGGCCAUUCAGGGACACGCACAGAGGGAUGAAGAUUCUGAGUCAUCCCACAUGCAUGGUCCUAGACAAGGGGGAACAAGGGAAUGCCCUGCCUUCUAGAUUCAGCUCUCGUACUGUAAACAACGGUCCUUUUCACAGUGUAUUUUGUGUCACGUUUUUUGAAUUUUUGUACUUUCUGCUGGUGAUUUCACCUGUUUACGAGGGCCCCCAAGCACAAUGCUGAAGUACCAUCUAGUGUUUCUAAGCAUAAGAAAGCUGUGAUGUGGCUUAGGGAGAAAAUACACGCAUUAGACAAGUUUCGUUCAGGUAUUACCAAUACACAUAGAAAUGAUCUAUUUAGGGAAAUAAACAUUCAGAAUAAUUCUCUAGUUCUUUUUCAUCAUUUACAUAAAAUAGUCUCUUAUUUGGGGGAAAGAAAAGGAGGAGGGGGCAGGAGAAGGAAGAAGAAAAAGGAAAACUAAAACCGAAAUUUUAUUUUUGAAAUUUAAAUUUGCUAUUUUUUAAAGUGUCCACAAUACAGUUUUAAGAACCAAUUUUACUUCUUAUUCAAUAAGCAGACAUUUCAGUUCUUUUUUUCUUAUUCUGUUCUCUAUAUUGUUAUUUAAAACAGUAUUAUGAGUGUGUUUCAUGAUGCUUUUGCAAAAGGGGUGCCUGGUCAAAUAAGUUUGGGAACACACACUCUACUCUCUCCCGAAUUAGAGAGGCACGAUGCAGAUUUCAAAAUCAAGGGCUCCAAAAUAUGCUACAGUAAAUAAAUUUGCUUAAUCCAAGUUUAAUUUGGAUCCAAAAGAUAAUUUAACCACAGCACCCUCUUUUCAAGAAACACAGUAACAAACAUUUAUAAAAUGUCAACAUUUGACAAAAUAGAUGAGAGAGAGAGAAACUGCAUAAAAUAGAAACAACGUGUUCACAAGAAUUAGGUUUACUUUCGGUUCUUCUGGACUUGUUCUUUACAGUCCCACCAGAAUACAACCAAAAGAGAAAAACAUACAUUCUACUGUGGGGAGAAGGUAACAU